rnacentral:lncRNA from 1 species
UGCGUGUUAGGAAGCAAUUGAAUGGGAAAGUGAAAUUUGUUGAUGAUGUCACACAAAGAAAUAUGGAGCUAAUUCAUAGGCUGGAGAAGAGCAAUCAUUUUGAACAGGUUUGGUAUUUUAAUUGUGGUGUGUAUGGUAGAACAGAAUGUGGAGAACAGAUAAAGUUUGGGAUGUAUGAUGACAUUAACUUUAGACUCAGACAAUUUAGGUCUGGGCGUUAACAUUUGUGGAAAAAAAAAAAUAUUUCUAAAGUUGUAAAUUUGGGAAAAAAUUUGAAAAAAAGUUUCAUUAUUUAGAAUUCUUUUUAUACAUGUAUAAAUUUAACAAAAAAAG